UUAAUUAUAUCAUUUUCCUCCCCAUUGUGCCCUAAUAGAGAAACUUAAACAAACUCCUUUUAAGACAAAACUUGCGAAAGAGAAGAAGAUUGUGGGUUUCGGAAACACUCAAAGAAGUUGUAUGCAUUUGUCUCAUAGAUCCAUUCAUCCAAGAAAAUUGAACGAAGAUGAUUUACACUCUUCUUUGUACAAGAAAGGAUCUGUCAUACCAAAGAAACUUAUAUUUAUGGGAUUAUGUGAGGGUGGCUCAAGACUGCGGAGAGUUGGGACUUGGGAUGACAUACAAAUGUACCAAAUGUGAUAAAAUGGGCCAUAACUCAAGAAGAUGCAAAGAAACAACUCAGAAUCUAGAUGCUUUGAAAAUAAAGAGAAAGACUCCUAGAUACAAUGUAAACAAAGAAGAACCUGUUGUAAAUGCAUAUGAACCUAUUGAGCAUGUGGUAGAACCUACUGCACAUGUAGAUGAACCUCUUACUACAAAUGAAGAUUAGACUGUUGAAGAUGUUAUUGAAGUUGCUCCUAUUGUGGUUAAACUUGCACAUGUUAAACCUAAAAGGCUGAAGUUGAAAGACCAAUUCAAUUAAAGGGCUAGGAGCAAGCAAGGAUGAACUAAUGAUGAUACCUGAGGAUGAAGAGGAUAGUUUGACUCAAGAGCCUACUAUGGUUAUACCAGACCUUAGGCUAGGGACAUGCAUCAGGGUUAUGAGAUCUUAGGAUGACACAUAUAAGAGAUUCUCUUAAUGAUACUGUUGAAUAUGUUAUGACAAUUACAUAAUUAGUUGUUUUUUGUUUAAACAGUUGCACAUUAUAUGAUUUUGUAUUGAUGUGUUAUGAUAUUUGCACAUUGUGUGCUUUUGAAUUGCCUUUUAUUAA